AGUGUGAGAUUCCCAAUAUAGUAUUUCAAAGAGCAUACCCCGCCAAAUCAACAUCCCCCAGGAGGCAGACUUAAAAAAAAAAAAUAGCGCGCCCCUCUGGCUUGCCGGGGAGGUGGGCUGGACAGGUGGGCCAGGUGAGGCAGUGGGCCUGGGUGUUCUGCGGGAAGUUGGCCGCGACCGCGUGGAGGAAGAGAGGCGGCAGGCACCUAGUGUGCUCCUGAUGUCUUGAGUUUGUUUCCUGACAAGGAAGAACAUGAUCUGAUCCAAAUAUUCCUAGAGGUGUUAGGAUUGCAGUGUGAUUCUUUUCCAAAGACGUUUCUACCUGGAGAUUUCACUAGUUCAACAAUUAAGCAUUAGUUGAGGGAGACACACUAAGCCUGUAUGCAUGCACAAGAGA
rnacentral:lncRNA from 1 species